CAGUAGCCGCGGGAAUACGUAGGUGGCGAGCGUUGUCCGGAAUUAUUGGGCGUAAAGGGAGCGCAGGCGGACAUAUAAGUCCAUCUUAAAAGUGCGGGGCUCAACCCCGUGAGGGGAUGGAAACUGUAUGCCUUGAGUGCAGGAGAGGGAAGCGGAAUUCCCAGUGUAGCGGUGAGAUGCGUAGAUAUUGGGAGGAACACCAGUGGCGAAGGCGGCUUUCUGGACUGUAACUGACGCUGAGGCUCGAAAGCCAGGGGAGCGAACGGGAUUAGAUACCCGCGUAGUCCCUGUCUCUUAUACA
rnacentral:rRNA from 1 species